UGGGGAAUUUUGCACAAUGGGGGAAACCCUGAUGCAGCGACGCCGCGUGAUUUAGAAGGCCUUCGGGUUGUAAAAAUCUUUUCUAUGGGAAGAAAAUGACAGUACCAUAGGAAUAAGGACCGGCUAAUUACGUGCCAGCAGCCGCGGUAAUACGUAAGGUCCGAGCGUUGUCCGGAAUCAUUGGGCGUAAAGGGUACGUAGGCGGGUAAGCAAGUUAGAAGUGAAAUCCUGUAGCUCAACUACAGUAAGCUUUUAAAACUGCUCAUCUUGAGAUAGGGAAGGGAAAGUGGAAUUCCUAGUGUAGCGGUGAAAUGCGCAGAUAUUAGGAGGAAUACCGGUGGCGAAGGCGACUUUCUGGCCAUAAUCUGACGCUGGGGUACGAAAGCGUGGUAGCAAACAGG
rnacentral:rRNA from 1 species